AUUGAACGCUGGCGGCAGGCCUAACACAUGCAAGUCGAGCGAGCGGCGGAAGGGUGAGUAAUGUAUGGGGACUGCCCGUUAGAGGGGGAUAACAACUGGAAAAGGUGUCGAAUACCGCAUACAGUAGGAUAACCCAAAUGGGAUGAGCUAGUAGGUGGGGUAAUGGCUUACCUAGGCGACGAUCCCUAGCUGGUCUGAGAGGAUGAUCAGCCACACUGGGACUGAGACACGGCCCAGACUCCUACGGAGGCAGCAGUGGGGAAUAUUGCGCAAUGGGCGCAAGCCUGAUGCAGCCAUGACGCGUGUAUGAAGAAGGCCCUCGGGUUGUAAAGUACUUUCAGUCGGGAGGCGUUACCGAAAGAGGAAGCACCGGCUAACUCCGUGCCAGCAGCCGCGGUAAUAC
rnacentral:rRNA from 1 species